rnacentral:rRNA from 1 species
CAUUCCGAACUCAGAAGUGAAACGAAAUAGCGCCGAUGGUAGUGUGGGGUUUCCCCAUGUGAGAGUAGGACAUCGCCAGGUU